rnacentral:pre_miRNA from 1 species
UUAAUUCAAAUUUGUAUGCAGAUGGAACGUUUGCCGCUAAGGGCGCUGAUCUAACUACAUACAAAUUUGAGUUA